UUAGUGAUGGUAUGCCAGUGUCUGGUGGGGAGAGACCAUGAUUUAUUUGACUAAUUAACUUGUAUUGAACAUUCACAGUAUCUCCCAUUUUUACUAUUUAAACAUGAUGAGAUGUAUAUCCUUGUUCUUGAUUAUGAAUUGGUGUUUGGUUUUAAAUUUAUGACUUAGAGGUAGAAGUAUUCAAGGCUGCUCCAAUCUCCUGAUGUCUUCUCUCAGGCACAGGAUUCAAAUCUUACAGCUAUGCUGCUGUUGAAUUUGGUGAUCUUAAAAGGUUGCUUGGCACGUCCUUUCCCAAAGAGCCAACAGCAAGAAAGUAACCAGAUGACUACUCAAUGAUCAAUGAGUGGGUAG
rnacentral:lncRNA from 10 species